AACGGUCUAUACCUGCGGUACCUGCGGAAGGAUCAUUACAGAGUUCGUGCCCUCUGGGUAGAUCUCCCACCCACUGUUUUCCUUACGACCGUUGCUUUGGCGGGCCGCCGGCCCUGCCCGGCCGCCGGCGCCCAGCUGGCGCGCGCCCGCCAGAGGCCCUCCAGACUCUGAAUGUUAGCGUCGUCUGAGUACCACAUAAUAAGUUAAAACUUUCAGCAACGGAUCUCUAGAUCGGAAGAG
rnacentral:misc_RNA from 1 species